UUUUCCAACCCUGCAAUGAGCACCAGUCUCCUCAUCUGGGCAUCCCUAUGUCUCAUGGGGGCAGAACUCAAAGAAUCUGGAGUUGUCCAGUCUCCCAGAUACAAGAUUGCAGAGAAAAGACAAGCCGUGGCCUUUUGGUGCAAUCCUGUUUCUGGGCACAAUACCCUUUACUGGUACCAGCAGACCCCGGGAAAGGGUCUGGAGCUUUUGAUUCAAUAUCAGAAUAAGGACCCAGUUGAUGAGUCCCAACUGUUCAAGGAUAGAUUUUUUGCAGAGAGGUCCAAAGGAGUAGAUUCAACGCUCAGGAUCCAGCAGGCAGGGCUGGAGGACUCAGCCACGUACCUCUGUGCCAGCAGCAGCCACAGCAUCACAGAGACGCCUCCUCCUGUGCACAGAACUGUGGGGUCUCCUCUCUCUAGUCAACUCACAUGA